UGAGGAAUAUUGCACAAUGGGGGAAACCCUGAUGCAGCGACGCCGCGUGAAGGAAGAAGUAUCUCGGUAUGUAAACUUCUAUCAGCAGGGAAGAAAAUGACGGUACCUGACUAAGAAGCCCCGGCUAACUACGUGCCAGCAGCCGCGGUAAUACGUAGGGUGCAAGCGUUAAUCGGAAUUACUGGGCGUAAAGCGUGCGCAGGCGGCUUGAUAAGACAGGUGUGAAAUCCCCGAGCUCAACUUGGGAAUAGCACUUGUGACUGUCAGGCUAGAGUAUGUCAGAGGGAGGUGGAAUUCCAAGUGUAGCAGUGAAAUGCGUAGAUAUUUGGAAGAACACCGAUGGCGAAGGCAGCCUCCUGGGAUAAUACUGACGCUCAUGCACGAAAGCGUGGGGAGCAAACAGGAUUAGAUACCC
rnacentral:rRNA from 1 species